rfam:Atta colombica isolate Treedump-2 unplaced genomic scaffold scaffold35, whole genome shotgun sequence.
AAAACGGCCCUUUUCAGGGCCAACAAAAAUUCGAACGUUGACUUUU